rnacentral:rRNA from 1 species
GGGCGGAGUCUUCGGUGACUGAGUAGAGUGGCGAACGGGUGAGUAGCGCGUGGGUAACCUGCCCUGAAGAGGGGGAUAACCCGGGGAAACCCGGGCUAAUACCGCAUACGCCCUUUGAUCGAGAGGUGAAAGGGGAAAGCUUUCGAGCGUUUCAGGAGGGGCCCGCGUCCGAUUAGCUGGUAGGGGAGGUAAGAGCUUCCCUAGGCGACGAUCGGUAGCCGGUCUGAGAGGACGGACGGCCACACUGGACUGAGACACGGCCCAGACUCCUACGGGAGGCAGCAGUGGGGAAUUUUGCGCAAUGGGGGCAACCCUGACGCAGCAACGCCGCGUGGAGGAAGAAGGCUUUCGAGUCGUAAACUCCUGUCCCCGGGGACGAAGCAGUGACGGUACCCGGGGAGGAAGCCCCGGCUAACUCCGUGCCAGCAGCCGCGGUAAUACGGGGGGGGCGAGCGUUGUUCGGAACUACUGGGCGUAAAGGGCGCGCAGGCGGCGGCAGAAGUUCCGGGUGAAAGCCCCCGGCUCAACCGGGGAAGGUCCUGGAAAACCAUGCGGCUGGAGUGCUGGAGAGGCCAGCGGAAUUUCGGGUGUAGCGGUGAAAUGCGUAGAUAUCCGAAGGAACACCGGAGGCGAAGGCGGCUGGCUGGACA